rnacentral:snRNA from 1 species
GAGUGUUACAGUUCUUUUGAGAAUUUGUCAACAGGUUUUUCGGUUUCACCAGAAAACCUCU